CAAGUCGAACGAGAAAGUGGAGCAAUCCAUGAGUACAGUGGCGUACGGGUGAGUAACACGUGGGUAAUCUACCUUUUAGUGAGGAAUAACCGAGGGAAACUUUGGCUAAUACCGCAUAAGCCUGAGAAGGGAAAGCAGAAAUGCGCUGAAAGAGGAGCCCGCGGCCGAUUAGCUAGUUGGUGGGGUAAGAGCCCACCAAGGCAGAGAUCGGUAGCCGGCCUGAGAGGGCACACGGCCACACUGGCACUGAAACACGGGCCAGACUCCUACGGGAGGCAGCAGUGGGGAAUCUUGCACAAUGGGGGAAACCCUGAUGCAGCGACGCCGCGUGAGCGAUGAAGCCCUUCGGGGUGUAAAGCUCUUUCGUCAGGGAAGAUAGUGACGGUACCUGGAGAAGCAGCUGCGGCUAACUACGUGCCAGCAGCCGCGGUAAUACGUAGGCAGCAAGCGUUGUUCGGAGUUACUGGGCGUAAAGGGUGUGUAGGCGGUUCUUUAAGUUUGCUGUGAAAUCUCCCGGCUUAACCGGGAGGGUGCGGUGAAUACUGAGGGACUAGAGUACGGGAGAGGAAAGUGGAAUUCCUGGUGUAGCGGUGAAAUGCGUAGAUAUCAGGAGGAACACCGGUGGUGUAGACGGCUUUCUGGACCGUAACUGACGCUGAGACACGAAAGCGUGGGUAGCAAACAGGAUUAGAUACCCUGGUAGUCCACGCCCUAAACGAUGCAUAUUUGGUGUGGGCAGUUCAUUCUGUCCGUGCCGGAGCUAACGCGUUAAAUAUGCCGCCUGGGGAGUACAGUCGCAAGGCUGAAACUCAAAGGAAUUGACGGGGGCCC
rnacentral:rRNA from 1 species